UGGGGAAUAUUGGACAAUGGGCGAAAGCCCUGAUCCAGCCAUGCCCGCGUGUGUGAAGAAGGUCUUCGGAUUGUAAAGCACUUUAAGUUGGGAGGAAGGGCAGUAAGUUAAUACCUUGCUGUUUUGACGUUACCAACAGAAAUAAGCCCCCGGCUAACUUUCGUGCCAGCAGCCGCGGUAAUUCGAAAGGGUGCAAGCGUUAAUCGGAAUUACUGGGCGUAAAAGCGCGCGUAGGUGGUUCAGCAAGUUGGAUGUGAAAUCCCCGGGCUCAACCUGGGAACCUCAUCCAAAACUACUGAGCUAGAGUACGGUAGAGGGUGGUGGAAUUUCCUGUGUAGCGGUGAAAUGCGUAGAUAUAGGAAGGAACACCAGUGGCGAAGGCGACCNCCUGGACUGAUACUGACACUGAGGGGCGAAAGCGUGGGGAGCAAACAGGAUUAGAUACCCUGGUAGUCCACGCCGUAAACGAUGUCGACNAGCCGUUGGGAUCCUUGAGAUCUUAGUGCGCAGCUAACGCGAUAAGUCGACCGCCUGGGGAGUACGGCCGCAAGGUUA
rnacentral:rRNA from 1 species